rnacentral:misc_RNA from 1 species
AAAAAACUUCAGCUUUGCUCGAUUUCUCGCAUACACAGGUAAACCAUGAAGCAUAACAAUGUUAUCCCCAACGGCCACUUUAAGAAGCAUUGGCAAAACUAUGUGAGGACAUGGUUUAACCAACCUGCUCGCAAAACAAGGAGACGUGCUGCUAGGCAGAAGAAAGCUGCAACAAUCUUCCCUAGGCCAACAGCAGGAUCACUCAGACCUAUUGUUCAUGGACAAACACUAAAAUACAACAUGAAAGUCAGAGCUGGCCGGGGAUUCUCUCUAGAAGAGCUGAAAGCAGCUGGUAUCCCCAAAAAAACUUGCUCCAACUAUCGGCAUUGCUGUGGAUCACAGGCGCAGGAACAGAUCCCUUGAAGGUCUCCAGACCAACGUCCAGAGACUCAAGACAUACAAAGCUAAGCUCGUUAUCUUCCCAAGGCAUGCUAAGAAAGUCAAGGCUGGUGAUUCUAGUGCUGAGGAACUUGCUAAUGCCACCCAAGUCCAGGGUCCUUACUUGCCUAUUGUUAGAGAUCAGCCAGCUAUCGAGCUUGUGAAGAUCACAGAUGAAAUGAAAUCAUUCAAAGCUUAUGGCAAGCUGCGUAUUGAGCGUACCAAUGCUCGUCAUUUUGGUGCUAGGUUGAAGAGAGCAGCUGAAGCUGAGAAGGAAGAGAAGAAAUAAGACAUUUCUAAUGUCUUAUAGCCCUUGCACACUAGCAUUGCUAAAUUUUUUUUGCACGAGUCUAAAUGAUGAAUUAUUUUUGAGUACUAUUAUUUCAUGUAAUUUUUUUUUCCGUACUCGUCGAUGGAGUCUGUUACGACGAGUCAAGACUAUAACUCCCAUAGUAGUA